rnacentral:rRNA from 1 species
GAUGAACGCUAGCGACAGGCCUAACACAUGCAAGUCGAGGGGCAGCAUGAAAGUAGCUUGCUACUUUUGAUGGCGACCGGCGCACGGGUGCGUAACAGGUGUGCAAUCUGUCCAUAAUCGGGGAAUAGCCCAGCGAAAGUUGGAUUAAUGCUCCAUGUGAGUUUUAGAGGCAUCUCUUUAAUUUGAAACGUAAGGAUUAUGGGUGGGCACGCUUCUGAUUAGGUAGUUGGUGAGGUAACGGCUAACCAAGCCGACGAUCAGUAGGGGUUCUGAGAGGAAGGUCCCCCACAUUGGAACUGAGACACGGUCCAAACUCCUACGGGAGGCAGCAGUGAGGAAUAUUGGUCAAUGGACGCAAGUCUGAACCAGCCAAGUCGCGUGAAGGAUGAAGGUUCUAUGGAUUGUAAACUUCUUUUGUCUGAGGGUAAAAAAGCGGACGUGUCCGUUCUUGCAAGUAUCAGACGAAUAAGCAUCGGCUAACUCCGUGCCAGCAGCCGCAGUAAAAC